rnacentral:rRNA from 1 species
UACGAAGGGGGCUAGCGUUGCUCGGAAUCACUGGGCGUAAAGCGUGCGCAGGCGGCUAUGCAAGACAGAUGUGAAAUCCCCGGGCUCAACCUGGGAACUGCAUUUGUGACUGCAUAGCUAGAGUACGGUAGAGGGGGAUGGAAUUCCGCGUGUAGCAGUGAAAUGCGUAGAUAUGCGGAGGAACACCGAUGGCGAAGGCAAUCCCCUGGACCUGUACUGACGCUCAUGCACGAAAGCGUGGGGAGCAAACAGGAUUAGAUACCCCAG